GGGAAUGUGGCUUAGUGGUAGAGUGCUUGCCUAGCAUGCAUGAAGCCCUGGGUUCAAUUCCUCAGUACCA
rfam:Dipodomys ordii contig_64249, whole genome shotgun sequence.